rnacentral:lncRNA from 1 species
GUAAUCUGUUCAGCAAAAGAAUUAAUUUUAUUUUACUAGUAAUUUAUAUACCAAAUUGGAUGCCUAGAGUUGGGCUAGAAUACUAUUAAUAGUAUUUGCCCCUUUUUACUAUCAUUUUUUUAGUUUUUGAAUCAAUUUUUUUGAUCAUUUUUAAUUAUUAGAUUAAAUAUUAUAACUCAGUGAGAACCACUCAAUCCUAGAAGGACCACUCAGUUCUAAGAGACUAAUAUCAUCUUAAUCCUACAAUUUUUUAUCAAAAUAUUAAAAAUUUAAUAGUAAAAAAAGUUAAAUACUAUCAAUAGUAUACCAGCUCAACU